rnacentral:rRNA from 1 species
CCUUAGUACGAGAGGACCGGGAUGGACAUACCUCUGGUGUACCAGUUGUCGUGCCAACGGCAUAGCUGGGUAGCUAUGUAUGGACGGGAUAAGUGCUGAAAGCAUCUAAGCAUGAAGCCCCCCUCAAGAUGAGAUUUCCCAACUUCGGUUAUAAGAUCCCUCGAAGAUGACGAGGUUAAUAGGUUCGAGGUGGAAGCGUGGUGACACGUGGAGCUGACGAAUACUAAUCGAUCGAAGACUUAAUCAA